CGGACGGGUGAGUAACACGUGGGUAACCUGCCCAUAAGACUGGGAUAACUCCGGGAAACCGGGGCUAAUACCGGAUAACAUUUUGAACUGCAUGGUUCGAAAUUGAAAGGCGGCUUCGGCUGUCACUUAUGGAUGGACCCGCGUCGCAUUAGCUAGUUGGUGAGGUAACGGCUCACCAAGGCAACGAUGCGUAGCCGACCUGAGAGGGUGAUCGGCCACACUGGGACUGAGACACGGCCCAGACUCCUACGGGAGGCAGCAGUAGGGAAUCUUCCGCAAUGGACGAAAGUCUGACGGAGCAACGCCGCGUGAGUGAUGAAGGCUUUCGGGUCGUAAAACUCUGUUGUUAGGGAAGAACAAGUGC
rnacentral:rRNA from 1 species